AGCCGAGAUGCAGACUGUCUGGCUCUUUCAGCUAAGGGAGAGUCAACUCAGGUUAAAACAAGGAGAAAAUGCCACAGCUCUGGGAGGAAGCCCGAGGAGGAGCAGCGCAUCCUGGAGACACCGGUGCGCCUCUGGUCGCCGCCUGUGGACCGUCUAGAGACGCUGGGCCACACGGAGCAAAGCACUCAGGGGUUCAAGCAGCAUCAGACUUCCCCGCGAGGUUCCUCCACUGCCUUUGUCACCCGCCAGUGUGAAGUCUCCAACCCUCCCCGUGUGCAGUCUGCGCUUGGGAAUUUGUUGUUGUUUGUUAUAACCCAAAUAUACUUGAAAGGUAAAGCUUAAGAGCAAACUUACCUGGUGUGGGCACUGCAGCGUGAAGAGUUCUCUCACCCAUUGCUCUGUCCUCCUGCGCCUGGAUCCUCGAGAAACGGACUGUUCUUAGAAGCUGAAAGUCCAGCCGGAUUUACAGACAUCCAAGUAAGAGUCUGUGAGAACCGAAAUUGAAAGGACAUGCACUUUGUGGGGAGUUGACUGUUGGGGAUUUUCCUGUUUAUCAAGACAGGAAACUAAAGGAGCUUGAAAGUGCUGGUUCCUCCACACCAGACUCCUGAAACUCAGGUUUGUUGGUGGAAGGGACUUACCAUGUCUCAGACGAAACUUUGGACUGUGAACUUUUGAGUUAAUACUGCAAUGAGUUAAGACUGGUGAGUGUUCAAUAGCAAAGACUUGGAACCAACCCAAAUGUCCAACAACGAUAGACUGGAUUAAGAAAAUGUGGCACAUAUACACCAUGGAAUAUUAUGCAGCCAUAAAAAAUGAUGAGUUCAUGUCCUUUGUAGGGACAUGGAUGAAACUGGAAACCAUCAUUCUCAGCAAACUAUCGCAAGGACAAAAAACCAAACACCACAUGUUCUCACUCAUAGGUGGGAAUUGAACAAUGAGAACACAUGGACACAGGAAGGGGAACAUCACUCUCCGGGGACUGUUGUGGGGUCGGGGGAGAGGGGAGGGAUAGCAUUAGGAGAUAUACCUAAUGCUAAAUGACGAGUUAAUGGGUGUAGCACACCAACAUGGCACGUGUAUAUGUAACAAACCUGCACAUUGUGCACAUGUACCCUAAAACUUAAAGAAUAAUAAUAAUAAUAAUAAUAAUAAUAAUAAUAAAAAGACUGGUGAGUGUUAAGAAGGCA